AUGAAAGUGGUUCUAUGGAGACUUGCUCACGACUGCCUCCCAUCCGGUGUCCAACUUCAUCGCUGUCAUGUGCCGACGUCUGACCUGUGCUAUUUCUGUGGAAGAACGGAAGGUAUCGAACACUCACUGUUGUUCUGUUCUUUUGCUUAUGAGGUCUGGUCGCAUGUGAAGCAAUUUUUUGACAUUAAGUUAUGGCGGUCUAAUUUUUCUUCGCCAAGGCAGUGGCUCUUUGAUUUCCUCUCACGUUCUUUUAACUUGAUGGCUACAGUCAUGGCUGUGUCUAUUUGGCAUAUUUGGGAGGCGCGGAAUUCUGCACGAAACAAUGAAGAUCCUGCACAUAGGCGUGAGAGCAUUGCUUCAAGCACUGUUUGGUCUCCGCCGCCUCCAGGUUAUCUUUUAUUCAUGUCUGAUACUGUGAUCUUCUCCGAACUAGGGAAGGUUGGUACAUGA
rnacentral:rRNA from 1 species